rnacentral:rRNA from 1 species
UACAGGGGGGUGCAAACGUUGCUCGGAAUCAUUGGGCGUAAAGCGCACGUAGGCGGUUCGUUAUGUCGGAUGUGAAAGCCCUUGGCUUAACCGAGGAAGUGCAUCCGAAACUGGCGAGCUAGAGUACGGGAGAGGAUAGUGGAAUUCCCAGUGUAGAGGUGAAAUUCGUAGAUAUGGGGAGGAACACCGGUGGCGAAGGCGGCCACCUGGACGGUCACUGA